CAUGCCAUCCUAAAUACCCGAAAGGCACCAGAUCUCAUCUGAUCUUAGAAGCUACGUAAAGUGAGACCUGGUUAGUACUCUGAACGAGGACCACCACCAAAUACCAGGUGCUGUCAGCU
rnacentral:rRNA from 11 species